rnacentral:lncRNA from 1 species
CUUGAUUCAAUCGUAGCAUCGACCAAUAGAAUUCCAAGACGAAAAAUCUCCUACCAAAUUUCCUUUGACUUUUUCUCCAUUUGGACCAAUUACCUUUCUCUGCCUCCCAAACACCACCACCCCCCGUUGGAUACUUUUCUUCCUCAGCCGUAGAUUUGCGUUUCCUCUGUUUCAUUGCUUUUAUCUUCGAUCUCCAACAUUACCGUCUUCUGUUCCUCUGCUCCCUUCGUUUCUCCUCUGGUACGACGUUCGAGGUAUAAAUUAAAAGCACAAUCCUUUUUUUAAUUCAUUUUUCCCUCUAAAACAUAUAAAUAAUAUCUGCACUUUUAAUCAUAUUUAUCCUUUUUUUAAAAAAAGAAAAAAAUCUCAAUCUCUCAUUUUCGGUUGACUGGUGUGGGUUUGCCUUAGAUAAUACGUUUCUUGCUUGUUUGCUUCUUGAUAUUAUGAUAAGAUGGUUGUUUGUUGUCAUUUCAUUUGCAACCGUAGAAUCGGAUUUGAUUGCUUGGAAAUCAUUAUUAAUUUUUCAGCAAACGACUAUAUUGAAUUCAAUGAUUGGAUGGUUCUGUCGAGGGUGAAAUUUUUCCAUCUUGAAAUGUAAUAAGAAGAAUUUUGUUGAGUGAUUAGUACAAAUGUGAUUAGAUGAAUCAAUACGGUUGGAAUUCUUAUGUUCAACUCUGGAAAGAUGGGUAUUAACAGAUACAGUCACAUAUUGCAGUUGUGCUGAGGAGACAANNNN